GACGUAGGGCGCGAGCGUUGUCCGGAUUUAUUGGGCGUAAAGAGCUCGUCGGCGGCUUGUCGCGUCGUCCGUGAAAACCUGCAGCUCAACUGCAGGCUUGCGGUCGAUACGGGCAGGCUAGAGUUCGGUAGGGGAGACUGGAAUUCCUGGUGUAGCGGUGAAAUGCGCAGAUAUCAGGAGGAACACCGGUGGCGAAGGCGGGUCUCUGGGCCGAUACUGACGCUGAGGAGCGAAAGCGUGGGGAGCGAACAGG
rnacentral:rRNA from 1 species